AAUGAGACCCAAAACAGACGUUUUGAGCUCACGAAGAAUUAAUUUUUUUCUUCAAAAACUACCAAUUUGAUUUUUUUUAUUUAUGGAUUUAUUUAAUUGAAGAGUUUGUCUAGUGACGUGCGGGAACCGAAACACGAUUGAAAAAAUUUGCCUCGAUAGAAAAACGUUGUGAAGUUUCCUAAAAAUUAAACGGUCAAUCAAUUUCAUUUGGACAAUGGUAAAGUAAUAUCAAUGAAACUUUAUCCACAUCCAUUUCCAUUCAAUUCUUGAGAGACGUGCGGGAUUAGAUUUUACAUUUAAUACAUCAGUAAUUUAAAAAAAAUAUAUUUAUAAAUUAUGAGCACAAAAUUGCGCGUAGGCCGGUCGCUUCCGCCGUUCCGCCUCCUGUUAGUCGACGCUAACGCGUCUUAGAGAGCAGUCCUGUACAACUUUUUCGCGCGGUGCCGUUGUCUACUCGCAUACGUGAUUUAGUGUUAGUGAUACUAAAGUUUUUCAUAAACAUGGUGAAUUUUGGUGGCCAAAACAUUGAUGGUGAGAACAUUAGGAAGAAAAUGUUGCGAAAGCAGAUAAAAAAACUACAGUUAUUGAACCCAAAUAGCGAAGCGCGACCACGAAAAAUCCGAUGAGCAGCCUGCAAGCCAGGACGCAAUAAAAGACAAACCAUGAUUACCAGAAACUGAUGUGGAUCUUCAGACAGUUUCAUAUAGUACUUUUUUGUCACAAUGUACAAGGACAGCUCAAAAUGACGAGCAAGAAACAUAUUUAUUUUCGGAACAAGGUGAAGAAGAAAAAAUGAAAGUCGUAUCAAGAAGAUAAACAUUGGAACAAUAAAAUAGUACCAAAACCAGCAUUCGAAAAUAUCUGUUAUGUUAUGUUAUAUUAUAUAUCAAAUGUCAAAAUUCUAUCUUAUUAUCUAUACUAAUAUUAUAAAUCUAAAGAGUUUGUUUGUUUGUUUGAA